GGUUCCAUAGCGUAAGGGUUAACGCGCCGCGAAUGCCUGUUGAGACCAAGGAUUUUCAGCGGAGACUCCGGAUUCGAUUCCUGGCGGGGCCG